UAGUAUUUAAAAUUUAAGGUAUAUUCUGCCCUAUGAUUAAUUUAAAUGGCUGCAGUAUAUUGACUGUGCAAAGGUAGCAUAAUAAUUAGUCUUUUAAUUGAAGGCUUGUAUGAAUGAAUUAAUGAGAAGUUUUUUUUAUUAUAAUUAAUAUUAUAAUUUAAUUUUUUAGUUAUAAAGCUUAAUUGUUUUUUAGGGACAAGAAGACCCUAUAGAAUUUAAAUGAAUUAUUUUUAUUGUUUAUUUUAGUGUGUUAUUAUUUUUUAUCAUUAAUUUUUUUUUGUUGGGGUGAUGGUUAAAUUUAACUUUAAUUUAUUUAUUACAUUUCUUUAUGUUUUUAUUGAUCCAUUAUUUGUGGUUAUAAGAUUUAAUUACCUUAGGGAUAACAGCAUAAUUUUUAUGGUGAGUUCUUAUUUAUAUAGAAGUUUGUGACCUCGAUGUUGAAUUAAGAUAAGAUUAUGGGGCAG
rnacentral:rRNA from 1 species